AGGAUGAACGCUGGCGGCGUGCCUAACACAUGCAAGUCGAACGUCCUGUCUCGCAAGAGGCAGGGAGUGGCGGACGGGUGAGUACCACGUGGGUCAUCUACCGUGAGGUGAGGAAUACCGGCGAGAAAUCGCCGACAAGACCGCAUAGGCUCGAUGCAAGUCGAGCAAAGCUCUUUCGAGAGAGGGAGCGCCACACGAGGAGCCUGCGCCCGAUUAGCUAGCUGGUGGAGUAACGGUUCACCAGGGCGACGAUCGGUAGCUGGUCUGAGAGGACGAUCAGCCACACUGGGAUUGAGAACGGCCCAGACUCCUACGGGGGCAGCAGUGAGGAAUUUUCGUCAAUGGGGGCAACCCUGAACGAGCAACGCCGCGUGCAGGAAGAAGGUUUUCGGAUCGUAAACUGCUUUUCUCGGGGAAGAGAACGGACGGUACCCGAGGAACGAAGCCCCGGCUAACUACGUGCCAGCAGCCGCGGUAA
rnacentral:rRNA from 1 species